rnacentral:rRNA from 1 species
CUGGGGCGGUCUCCUCCCAAAGCGUAACGGAGGAGCACGAAGGUUAGCUAAUCCUGGUCGGACAUCAGGAGGUUAGUGCAAUGGCAUAAGCUAGCUUGACUGCGAGCGUGACGGCGCGAGCAGGUGCGAAAGCAGGUCAUAGUGAUCCGGUGGUUCUGAAUGGAAGGGCCAUCGCUCAACGGAUAAAAGGUACUCCGGGGAUAACAGGCUGAUACCGCCCAAGAGUUCAUAUCGACGGCGGUGUUUGGCACCUCGAUGUCGGCUCAUCACAUCCUGGGGCUGAAGUAGGUCCCAAGGGUAUGGCUGUUCGCCAUUUAAAGUGGUACGCGAGCUGGGUUUAGAACGUCGUGAGACAGUUCGGUCCCUAUCUGCCGUGGGCGCUGGAGAAUUGAGGGGGGCUGCUCCUAGUACGAGAGGACCGGAGUGGACGCAUCACUGGUGUUCGGGUUGUCAUGCCAAUGGCACUGCCCGGUAGCUAAAUGCGGAAGAGAUAAGUGCUGAAAGCAUCUAAGCACGAAACUUGCCCCGAGAUGAGUUCUCCCUGAGACUUUAAGUCUCCUGAAGGAACGUUGAAGACGACGACGUUGAUAGGCCGGGUGUGUAAGCGCAGCGAUGCGUUGAGCUAACCGGUACUAAUGAACCGUGAGGCUUAACCUUACAACGCCGAAG